rnacentral:lncRNA from 10 species
ACAAGGAACAUGUCAACAGCUGGGCUUGGGGUUUGAGGAACAGAGCCGCUGCGAUUGGAACAGAGCCCGGCCACCCUGUUCCACCACUGUCCACUCCGUAGCUCCCAGCCUGCCGCCGCGCGGUGCCCGAACACGAGAGGGCACCUCCUCCCAGAUCCGGGGCGCAGAAGCCCCGCGGAGGCAGGUAGAAGAUUCUGAGGCCCUGGGCGGGAACUAGUAAGCCACAAUCUGGAAGAGUCUUUUACCACCAUGUGGAGGAGAACUAGAGCACUCAUGUUGAACUAUUACCGAGAAAAGUAAUCAACUUCUUUUGUGUUAAGUCACUGAAAGUAAAAUUUCUAGCUGGACAUAUGGCUCCCCAGAAUGAAGUCUGUGCUCCCUAGCAUCCCUUCAGCAUCUUUGGUGCUACCGGAUAAAUUCUGAGCAAUGGACAUAUAAAGAAGUGUUGUGUGGUUGCAUCUGGGAAGUUCCUUUAUGCUUUGUCCUUUAUUUUUCACCCUCCUCUUCAUGAUGGCUGAACAUUUGUACAAUGGCCAGACCUGGAGAAACCAUCUUGGGGGGACUUGGGAAUGGAGGUCCAGCCUUGGGGAGCAACAAAGUCAGAGGAUCCUAAAUUUCAUGAAGGAGGAUCCUGGAACUUGGGCUUAUAGACUUUUAAAUGAGAGAAGAUAAAAAAAAGAAAGGCCUAUUUCAUUUAAGAAAUGAAUAGUUUUUAUUUUUCUAUUACUUCUAGUCAAAUCUAAUUCCAUUUCCUAUUUGGCUGUGACAGCAGAUCCUUGUGCAGUGACUGACACAUAGUGGGUGUUCAAUAGAUGUUUGAAGCAAUCUGGGAGGUAUCCCUGAUACCUUCUCCUUCCCCAUAUCCAACUCAGCAUUGAUGUCUAUCAGUUUUACCUUCUGACAUCUCUCAAAUCUGUGCACUUGUCUUAAU